AUGGAUCCAGAAGAGGGGAGCAAGCGCGCUCGUUCGGCUGAUGAUAGCACGGACACCGUCGGCCUCACAGCGGGAUGGGCAGACAUUCCCCGCGAGCUGCUUCCCGUUGUGCUCUCCCGCCUGCCAUGUCCGGUAGAUCGUCUCCGUUUCUCCGUGGUCAACAAGAAAUGGCACGGGUUCAUCAAACAACACCCUCCUCGUCUUCCUCCACUGCUCCCGUCCUUGGUGCUACCGGCUUCUCCAGAGCACCCUCUGGUCCACGUAACACAGGGAGGGAACACCCGGCGCCUCGGACUCCCACCAGACAUCAAGCAGAGAGCAAGUUUCUGUGGAUCCUACGAAGGGGGGUGGUUCGUCCUCGCUCUUGAUAAACCACUGGAGAACAGGCUGUUCAACAUAUUCUCCGGCGUCAGCAUUCCGAUGCCAACGACGACAAUGGUGGACGGGGAUGCACGAUAUAUCCGAGUUGAGGCAGCUGCUCUAUCAGGGUCGCCAGUUCUGGACCCACCAUACAACUACACCAUCGGCGCGAUUGCAAGGAUCGAGGGCAGUGAGUUAUCUGGCAUUGCACUAUGGGACCCGUCCAAGGAGCACUGGACGGGCAUUGACUGGGAUCUCAUCCGAUCGCAGAGUCUGGAUAUACACGAUGUGGUAUACUCCAAUGGCAGCUUUUACUUCCUCAACUCUUAUGAGAACAUGGAGAGAAUUGGAGCUCAUCCCAACCGUGAGGGAGUCCCACCCCGUCUGGAGAUUUAUGUCGAGAAGGAUUGGGAGAUAUAUGAUGAGGAACACCCGGAGAACUUGACAGUCCAGCGGUAUUUGGUUAAUCUUGGAGGUAUGGAGGAGGAUAAUCCUUUCCUCAUGGUGCUCAAGUAUCAAGAUGAGCCUACGCAGCCCACUUCCUCUGUGCGCGUGUUCAGGCUAAGCGAGGUUGAUGAACCUGACGGUCCAGAGUACCCUGAGGAUGUGGAGCCCCGUCUCCACUGGCAUGAGCUAGAUCCCAGCUCCAAGUCGGACCAUGAGUUUUUCCUUCAGGCCAAGCUCAUAUUCAUUGGGCGUGGUUGCUCCAGGAUCUUCAAUGCCAGUGAUUUUGAGGAUCUCGACGACAAGUUUCGCACUGGAGUGUCCAUUUUCUUCUACGACGACCGUGGCGUCGAGGACCAAGAAUGCUUCCUGCGUGGUGACAUGGGAAGGUUCACUCUGCCGGAGGCCCAAGUUGAGCCGUGGCCGCCGGUCGGCAGCCAAGCAAUCGGGCCACGGUCGCGCAAGUUCCCUCCUACGGGGUGGAUUCACUGA
rnacentral:rRNA from 1 species